GUUUGCUCUUUGGAGCCACACUACCUUUAUGAGCUGUAACACUCACCGCGAAGGUCUGCAGCUUCACUCCUGAGCCAAAGAGACCACGACCUCACCAGAAGGAAGAAACUCCGAACACAUCCAAACAUCAGAAGGAACAAACUCCAGACGUGCCGCCUUUAAGAACUGUAACACUCACUGCGAGGGUCCGCAGCUUCAUUCUUGAAGUCAGUGAGACCAAGAACCCACCAAUUCUGGAGACAAGAGGAUUGCUUAAGCCCAGAAGUUUGAGUACAGCUUGGGAAACAUAGUGAGACCCUGUCUCAAAAAGAAUAGAUAUGUUCCAAAACAAAAGAGUGAGAAGUGUGCCAUUCUAUAUUUUUUGCAAAUCUUUUAAACGUCUGGCGUAAUAGGAGGUAGCUGGAUGCCGUGUCUGUGUCUGCAGACACACUGCUGUGAUGUCACAAAUCAUGUGGCCUCUGGAAAAUUCUCUUUUAUUUCAAGAGGGAUUUUAAUUUCAGAAAACCACAGUGGAAAAGGCUGAUAAUGGCCUACAGUAUGAACAUAGUUUUGAAUAUGUGGACCUCUCUAAAAGAGUUUCAGGGAACCUCCUCUCCCCAGCGGUCUCUGGAGCUCUGCUUUGAGGACCAGUGCCCUAGAGAAAUAGCCGCACAGGUGCAUAGGGCUGCACACGGCAGCUUGUUUGUAAAGGAGAAUGCUGGAGCAAUUGCGCCAGAGGACACAGAGACCAAGAGAGACUACGCAGCAGCCACGGAGAGAGAAGGGCCUAUGUGGCUAACACGCACAGAGGGAGUCUCACUCUGUGACCAUGCUGGAGUGAAGU
rnacentral:lncRNA from 10 species